GGGGGUGUAGCUCAGUGGGAGAGCACAGGCUUAGCACAAGGUCCUGGGUUCAAUCCCCAGUACCGCCU
rnacentral:tRNA from 1 species